UACGGGGGGGGCAAGCGUUGUUCGGAAUUACUGGGCGUAAAGGGCGCGUAGGCGGUUGGAUAAGUCAGCUGUGAAAACCACGGGCUUAACUCGUGGCCUGCAGUUGAGACUGUCUGGCUUGAGUGUGGGAGAGGAGAGUGGAAUUCCUGGUGUAGCGGUGAAAUGCGUAGAUAUCGGAAGGAACAUCAGUGGCGAAAGCGGCUUCCUGGACCAGCACCGACGGUCAGGCACGAAAAGCCGUGGGGAGCAAACAGGG
rnacentral:rRNA from 1 species